rnacentral:lncRNA from 1 species
UUUUUUCUCCUCAAUUGACCACAGAUGUGCUAAGCUGGCCCACACACGACCUCCAUUUAUUUAAUUUGUACAUGUAGCCAUUUAUUCCCUUCCAAUAACAGAGUUAACAUCCAUGACAAACCACCAAACCAGAAGCAAUUACUUUGACUAUUACUUACGUAAGUUCUAUAGUCUUUAAUUGAAUCAUUGCACAUCCAUUCUGCAGAGUACAAAACAAAUAUUAAAAGAGACAGAUUAUCUCAGAUAGAUAGAUAGAUAGAUAGAUAGAUAGAUAGAUAGAUAGGGAGAUAAGACAGCCUAGAUUCAGAUUUUUUCUAGUGGAGUUUUAAGUCAACAAUGGACUAUGAAUAAAUUUUAGUGCUUGUUGUAUAUUAAAACUCUGAAUGGCAUAUUUGUUCGCUGAAUCAAAAAUUUAAUUUAAUGAAUAUAAUCAACAACUUUGAAACCAACACCAAACAAAAGAAUAAGAACUAUGGCCACUACACAUAUCUAUUUAUACAUCCCCAUCUGGUCAGGUGAGAGCUCUAACUUCUUGCUAGAUGAAUCUUUUCCUGGAAAGAAUCAGGUUCAUCUGAAUCUUGGAUUCGAUAUAUCUCCAUCAGCCAUUGUCCAUGCUUGUCCCAUCUUUAUACAUGUAAGCAUGUAGGCAGGGAUAUCGUUACACAUGGAGUCACUUUAUCUUCCAUUUUUUACAGCAAUUGGACCAACAAGCCAGGAAGAGAAAUCCUACCUAAAUAUAUUGACCAUUUCAAAAAUUAAGAGCCUCGAUCUCGUCUCUUUAUCUGGAGAACAAGUACAUAGAUGUGGAUUCAUCACUCUCCUUGUUCCAGAACACAUGGUCCUCAUUGGUCCAUACAUUGCCUUCUUUCAAGUAACUGAUUAAACUAUUAACUUAUUCUUGUAUACAUAUGUAUAUCCAUAUCAUUAAUAUCUGUGACUCCACAGAAACAGGACAAUAUUAAUCCCUGUCCAUGUGGCCCAUCAAUCACAGAAAAAAGAUCACAUUUUUUUCUUGGUUGUUUUUUUCAUUAAAAAUAGUGAAAAUCCAUUGGGUUAAUCAUAACCGACCAUGCGACAGAUCCUUAACACAUAUCUCUGCAUAAGUCCUCUCUCAAUUACGUAGUUAUUUAAUCAAUAGUUAAUUUAAGUAAACGUUUUACCCUACUCUUAAUAAAACAAAAAUCCAAGAACCUAACCCAGAAAAACAACAGGUGCUCUCACAUCCAUUUAUCUAAAUGCUCUUUACCCAAAAUGGUCGGCUUUAAUAAAUUUAUUUUACUGGAACCCAGUGCUUCAGAAAUAUAUUAAUAAUGAUUUUUAUAUUAUGUAUAUUACAUUACAUUCUCCCAUAUUUGGACCAGGAAUAAACCAUUUUGUCCUUAUUCAUUUAUACUUCCUUGAUUUAUUUGUGCAUUGAAAAUACGAUAUUCAGAAACCCAAGCACAAGAGCAAACUUGAAAAUUUUUAACUCUUACAAAAAGCUUAUUACCAUAGGAAUAGCAAAGAAGGAUGAAUCUUCUGUAACGGACCUCAGAGUUAUAGGGUUUAAUCAAAGUCCUCGACUUCAGACACCCCAGGGUACUCAUCAUCGAUCCGGGCUAAGCAAUCUUUUCCUUCAUUUAUACCUUUGUUUAUUGACCCAUUCGUUGAUCCAUGACGGAUGGUUACAUCAACACCCAGGAAUUUUUGAAGAGCCAAGAACAAGACCCUUGGAUGUAACCAAGACCUGUAUAGGCUCUCUUCCCAUAAACUAGAUCUUUUCUCAAUAGAUACGGUCCCUUUUUGUAGCGGCCCUCACUGAGGUGUCUAUGGAUCAACGAGCAUCCUUGCUUCACGCAUCCUCCUCCAACUCUCUUCCAUCUUCCCACAGGACAAGGAGCUGUCCCAUAGGACAGGGCAUGACGACAUGAAUGUGCUAGGACCAUGCCCCCCCAAUGCAAUCACAUUGCCACACACAGCUCCGAAGAACCUGAAAUGUGGAGAGUGCAACUGAGGAGCUGAAUUUAAACAGCCACAGGUGGCUACUAGAG